CUACGGGCGGCUCCAGUAAGGAAUAUUGGACAAUGGAGGCAACUCUGAUCCAGCCAUCCCGCGUGCAGGAUGAAUGCCCUUUGGGUUGUAAACUGCUUUUACUAGGGAAGAAAGGUAGUCAUUUAUGAUUAUUUGACGGUACCUAAAGAAUAAGCACCGGCUAACUCCGUGCCAGCAGCCGCGGUAAUACGGAGGGUGCAAGCGUUAUCCGGAUUUACUGGGUUUAAAGGGUGCGUAGGCGGCUUAUUAAGUCAUAGGUGAAAGGCAUCGGCUUAACCGAUGGAUUGCCUGUGAUACUGGUGAGCUUGAAUUGGGUUGAGGUUGGCGGAAUGUGACAUGUAGCGGUGAAAUGCAUAGAUAUGCCAUAGAACAUCGAUUGCGAAGGCAGCUGACUGGACCUUGAUUGACGCUGAGGCACGAAAGCGUGGGUAGCGAACAGGAUUAGAUACCCUAGUAGUC
rnacentral:rRNA from 1 species